AUGCUAAAGGCAGCGGAGGUAGAAAUCAAGAAGGAGCAUCAAGUGUUGAUUGUCAAUAAGACCACUAGUUUCAAGAAAAAGGGUAAAGGGAAGAAGAAGGGGAACUUCAAGAAGAAUAGCAAGCAAGUUGCUGUUCAGGAGAAGAAACCCAAGUCUGGACCUAAGCCUGAAACUGAGUGCUUCUACUACAAGCAGACUGGUCACUGGAAGCGGAACUGCCCCAAGUAUUUGGCGGAUAAGAAGGAUGGCAAGGUUAACAAAGGUAUAUGUGAUAUACAUGUUAUUGAUGUGUACCUUACUAAUGCUCGCAGUAGCACCUGGGUAUUUGAUACUGGUUCUGUUGCUAAUAUUUGCAACUCGAAACAGCGGCUAUGGAUUAAGCAAAGAUUGGCUAAGGACGAGGUGACGAUGCGCGUGGGAAAUGGUUCCAAAGUCGAUGUGAUCACCGUCGGCACGCUACCUAUACAUCUACCUUCGGGAUUAGUAUUAGACCUAAAUAAUUGUUAUUUGGUGCCAGCGUUGAGCAUGAACAUUAUAUCUGGAUCUAGUUUAAUGCGAGACGGUUAUUCAUUUAAAUCAGAGAAUAAUGGUUGUUCUAUUUAUAUGAAUAAUAUCUUUUAUGGUCAUGCACCCUUGAAGAGUGGUCUAUUCUUGUUGAAUCUCGAUAGUAGUGAUACACAUAUUCAUAAUAUUGAAGCCAAAAGAUGCAGAGUUGAUAAUGAUAGUGCAACUUAUUUGUGGCACUGCCGUUUAGGUCAUAUCGGUGUAAAGCGCAUGAAGAAACUCCAUACUGAUGGAAUUUUGGAAUCACUUGAUUAUGAAUCACUUGGUACUUGCGAACCGUGUCUCAUGGGCAAGAUGACUAAAACACCGUUCUCCGGAACUAUGGAGAGAGCAACAGAUUUAUUGGAAAUCAUACAUACAGAUGUAUGUGGUCCAAUGAAUAUUGAGGCUCGUGGCGGAUAUCGUUAUUUUCUCACCUUCACAGAUGAUUUGAGCAGAUAUGGGUAUAUCUACUUAAUGAAACAUAAGUGUGAAACAUUUGAAAAGUUCAAAGAAUUUCAGAGUGAAGUUGAAAAUCAUCGUAACAAGAAAAUAAAAUUUCUACGAUCUGAUCGUGGAGGAGAAUAUUUGAGUUACGAGUUUGGCCUACAUUUGAAACAAUGCGGAAUAGUUUCGCAACUCACGCCACCCGAAACACCACAGCGUAAUGGUGUGUCCGAACGUCGUAAUCGUACUUUACUAGAUAUGGUACGAUCUAUGAUGUCUCUUACUGAUUUACCGCUAUCGUUUUGGGGUUAUGCUUUAGAGACGGCUGCAUUCACUCUAAAUAGGGCACCAUCAAAAUCCGUUGAAACGACACCGCGACCGAAUCAGGGCGACGGCAGUGGGGACACGGACGGCCGAGGGACAUCCUACUUCGCAAAGAGAUAG
rnacentral:rRNA from 1 species